rnacentral:rRNA from 1 species
UACGGGGGGAGCAAGCGUUGUUCGGAUUUACUGGGCGUAAAGGGCGCGUAGGCGGAUAGUUCAGUCGGGGGUGAAAGCCCGGGGCUCAACCUCGGAACUGCCUUCGAUACUGGCUAUCUUGAGUACGGGAGAGGUGUGUGGAACUCCGAGUGUAGAGGUGAAAUUCGUAGAUAUUCGGAAGAACACCAGUGGCGAAGGCGACACACUGGCCCGUUACUGACGCUGAGGCGCGAAAGCGUGGGGAGCAAACAGG